AUUGAACGCUGGCGGCAUGCCUUACACAUGCAAGUCGAACGGUAACAGGUCUUCGGAUGCUGACGAGUGGCGAACGGGUGAGUAAUACAUCGGAACGUGCCUAGUAGUGGGGGAUAACUACUCGAAAGAGUGGCUAAUACCGCAUGAGAUCUACGGAUGAAAGCAGGGGAUCGCAAGACCUUGUGCUACUAGAGCGGCCGAUGGCAGGUUAGGUAGUUGGUGGGAUAAAAGCUUACCAAGCCGACGAUCUGUAGCUGGUCUGAGAGGACGAUCAGCCACACGGGGGCGGACAAACGGCCCGGACGCCGACGGGAGGCAGCAGGGGGGAAUUUUGGACAAUGGGCGCAAGCCUGAUCCAGCAAUGCCGCGUGCAGGAUGAAGGCCUUCGGGUUGUAAACUGCUUUUGUACGGAACUAAAAGCCCCGGGUUAAUACCCUGGGGUCCAUGACGGUACCGUAAGAAUAAGCACCGGCUAACUACGUGCCAGCCGCCGCCGUAA
rnacentral:rRNA from 1 species